GCAUAUCAAUAAGCGGAGGAAAAGAAACCAACAGGGAUUGCCUUAGUAACGGCGAGUGAAGCGGCAAAAGCUCAAAUUUGAAAUCUGGCGUCUUCGGCGUCCGAGUUGUAAUUUGAAGAAGGCUACUUUGGGGCUGGAGUUUGUCUAAGUUCCUUGGAACAGGACGUCACAGAGGGUGAGAAUCCCGUGAGAUAAGCUUCCCAGUUCUAUGUAAAGUGCUUUCGAAGAGUCGAGUUGUUUGGGAAUGCAGCUCUAAGUGGGUGGUAAAUUCCAUCUAAAGCUAAAUAUUGGCGAGAGACCGAUAGCGAACAAGUACAGUGAUGGAAAGAUGAAAAGAACUUUGAAAAGAGAGUGAAAAAGUACGUGAAAUUGUUGAAAGGGAAGGGCUUGAGAUCAGACAUGGUAUUUUGUAAACCUUCUCUCUCGUGGAGGGGGCCCCUUGCAGCUUACUGGGCCAGCAUCAGUUUGGGCGGUAGGAUAAUGACUAAGGAAUGUGACUUGCCUUCGGGGAAGUGUUAUAGCCUUGGUUGAUACUGCCAGCCUAGACUGAGGACCGCGUCUUUGACAAGGAUGUUGGCAUAAUGAUCUUAAGCCACCCGUCUUGAAACACGGACC
rnacentral:rRNA from 1 species